UUGAGAUCAAUCAAAUCAGGCAAGAGAAAAUCCUCUGAAGUCAACAAAAUAUACAGUGCAUCUCUCUGCUCCUUGUCAAGUACCUCAGAUCUGCAUGUGAGGAUGGCCUAAAGCCCUGCUAACAGACUUCAAGAAGAAGCAAAAAAACAGCACGAGUAAAAUAUUGUAAAUAACUGCCUAUUUCUAUACCAAAGUUCAAACUUCUCUCUUGAAAUGAACAAAGAAGACCACAUUUGCUAAUCAUGUGGGAGUUGUAAUCACUUUUAAAGGAAAGCUUUAAGCCAUGUCAGACCUAAUGAGGCAUCUUUCAUUUAAUAUACUCAAAUGACUGAGCUGGUUUUACAUUGCGAGCUUCAAGGUGGGGAGGAUCAUGAUAAUCCACAAUGCCAUCAACAUACUUGUGAACCAGAGGACCUGGUAAAUUAGUCUAAGGAUCUGGAAACCACAGAGCAAGAGGAAUCAGAGAUACAGUCUGGGUCUGAGGCUCAAAGACUGGAAGUUCCCUAAAGCACAGCUGGUGGAGUUUACAUUUAAAAGAUGAAGAACCUGGAGUCUGAGGUUCACAGGUGAUGCCAGGAGCUAAAGAUGCACCUGUUCAAGCAGAAUUGAGCUUGUAAGCCCGCUAAUUUCUUUCUUUCCCUUUUUGCUCCAUCUAGAUUGUAAGCCUAUUGAAUGGUGCCAUCCACAAUUAGACUAAGUCUUCCCUAAGGUUUGGGACCUAUGUACCAGCCACCUUUGGACCACCUCCUCCCCCCCAGAAAAGUGUGCUUCGCUAAUUUCUCGUUGUUACUCAGUCCAGGAAAGUUGACAAUAAAGAUUAAC